GAAGUCAUUAGAUCUGUGUCCACUGCCUUUAUAGCACUUCAUGUUAACUCAUAUGGCUGAAAGAGCAGCUCUAAAAGGCCUGAACUGAAACGGAAAUAAGACAGAAAAGUGGAAAUACUUGUUUUUCAGUGUGCUGUGUAAAAACAAGUUUACAGAUGGUAGUCAGAUUGUUUGAAUGACCUGCCAGAGGUGAAAGAUGUUACUUGCAGAGCAUGCAGAAUACUCACCCUUGGAGCUUUCCAAAUCUUGGCUGGAUAAGACCCUGAGCAACCUGCUCUAACUUCAGAAGUGACUCUGCUUUGAACAGGGGCUUGGGUGAAAUGAUUUCCAGAAGUAUCUUCCAAUGUACUGCAUUGUUCCAUGGUUCUUUGCUUCUGUGUAUAUGUGACAAAGCCAAGACUGGAAAUUUAAUCCUGUUGGUCCAACAGGAAUUUGAACAAAAUGCUAUAUAAAUAUCAUAUAAUUAUCAUAAUAAUCUUCUUAAACCUCUGACUUCUGGUGGGAUAUGGGCUUAUACAGUUUGUAGCACGUUUUGAAAUCCUUCCUUUAGGUGCUUUGCUUAUUUUAUAAGUUAAGGUGAUACAUGCAAAACUAAAAUUAGUGGUUAUGCUAAUGUUUUUGCUUCUUCUGGUUUUCAUAAUAAUGUCAAUUACUACAAUUACAAUUGUUAAUGGUGUCUUAGUUUAUUUUCAAAAUUUGUCUCCACUGCAGAUUCUCUUUUGGGACAAAUUCCUGUAUUUGAUAGUUGGUCAUGGCAAAAAUGUUGAAUGGCUUUUCCCAAGUAAAUGUUCAGAAGUGCGUUUGUAAAUAUUUGUGUGUGCAAGCAGUGAGUUUCAGUGUAGCACAGCUUCUCACAAGACUGCCAUUUCAGGGGUGCUGCCAUGAGCUGGCCUCUUUGUGUAGAGCAUGAACCAUUUGCACUCCAGCUUCACAGAGCUCCUUUUCUAUUCUUAUGCUUCAUAUUGUUGUUUCUCUCAUGUAAUAUCUUUAUUAUACUGGGUUUUCUGUCAGUGAAGUCUGUUACUUUUGAUCUGGGAUAGGUGUUACAGCCAAAAACUAUUUUCAAAAAGUGGGCACAAGGAUUUGAUUAAAACUUGAA